ACCAAAGUGAUCCAAGGUAACUUCCUAAGCCUUUAACUUAGUUACCACAGUAAAACUAAAGUUACUGUGGUAAAACUCCAAAGUUACUAUCUGCCCCAAUACUCUUCCUCUAUCAAUGUAUCCACUCUUUAUCACCUCAUCUCAACACUCCCCCUCAAGCUUGACCAUGUAGAACAAGUCAAAGCUUGGAAACCAUGAAGACCUCCCUCAUUAAAAACUUCACCAAGGAAAACCCAAUGGGAUAAAACCUUGAUGAGGGAAAAAGAGUGGAGCCUCCAUGGUUAAGGGGCUUAGCUCCUGGGAGUAAGAUCAAUGAGUCCAAGCCUGGAUAGUAUGGACUAUCACUUUUAGUGAUGUUUAGAGUAAUCUGAGUGUUUAGGAAAGAUUAGAAUAGAUUUAGAGAAGAUUAAAGUAUCAAAUGAGAUUAAGAGUCUAAAGAGAGAACUUUGAGAUUCAAAGACUAAGAGAGACUCAUAACUUACAUAAUCUUAUUAAUGAUGAGGUUACAAUAUAUAUAAAGAGAUGAGAUACAAGGGUUUUCAUUUGAUCAAUAUUCUAAGCAUGUGUAGUCAAGGGAAGAGGCUCUUCAUUUCAAACUAAGCCAAUGAGGGAGAGAAUGCGUGUGAGGCAUCUUGGACUGAGAUGUUUUCACCUUUCCAGCCUGUCAAGGCUCUCCACCUUAUCCACAACUGAUCACAACCUCAGCGCACACUCCUC
rnacentral:lncRNA from 1 species